AUAACCUAGUGACCUUUAGCCAUGACAAGGUUGGGUUAAGCUUUAAAAUAAACAGGCUGUAGAAUGUAGAGAUGAACACGUGAUCUUUGUUGGAACAAUGAAAUCAAAGGUGGGUGUAAGCGGCAGAAGGGAACAUCUAGACGGUGUGUAAGCCUGCCACACUCAGCUGCAAAGAUGAGAAAUGCAUUAAGAGGUGACCCCCACUGCACUCCUGAUAGCAAGUGACAGCAAGCAAUUGACUUAAGCAACAAUGGGAUUUGUUGGUCUGUGGGAACAAAACAUCCAAGGGCACUUUGGAGGCAGGCGGACCUCUGAGUUGGAAGCCAUCCUGGUCUACAAAGCAAGCUCCAAGACAGAGAGGACUACGCAGAGAAACCUGCCUCAAAAAUCAACAGACAGAUGAACGAAUGAACCAACGAACGAACAAACAAGCAUUAGUUGCUUCUCCAGAGGGCUUGGGUUUGAUUCACGGCAUCCACGGAGGCUCACAAGCAUCUGUAACACCGGUACUAGGGUAUCAACACUUUCUUCUGACCUCUAUGAGUACAUACAGGCACAGAACAGCCAUCCAUACAUGUAAUGAUAAAGGGGGAAAACGAUUUUUGUCUGUGUAUGUUUUAUACCCAAAGACUGGAGUCUGUUAGGGAUGAAAGACUGAGUUCUUGUUUGUCUUCAUGUCACCAGUACCUACUGAGUCUGGCAUAAUAGAGCUGACAUUCAACUGCAGUUGGGAUUGUCCCUUUGUAUAUUUUCAGAAGUACAGGGGGCCCGUAGAGAUGAGAUGCAGGGUCACGUUGGUGAAAGGAUGAUGACCCCAGGAAACAGAUAGGAGGGAGGCCGCUCCAGUGCCUGGGGCCCUUCAGAGGCAAAGUGACCUUGGUGAAGUCCACUCACCUUUUCAACAAUCCCACAAGCUCCUUUCUCUCUGAGUCCUUGAAGAACAAAUGGUCUGAGCUCGCAUAGCAGGGAGCCACUCCACAGCCUCUUCUAGCAGGUUCUGUGUACUGCGACUCAGGAGAUGAUUAAAGGGGCAUGCAAAGUAGUUGAGGUAAGAGAACUGUGAAAGGCACAAACCCCUCAGAGCUGGGGAGAAGGGUGCAGAGUGGGAGAAGAGAGACAGCAAGAGCCAGGCUGUAGAUGUAGAGAUGGGCGGACAAAGAGCUCCAACUGGUUGGAGGAACACUGCUCUCAGGUUGUGACAAAGAACAGAAGUGAGCAGGGAAGGAUGACAACUCUGGGGAGAACGAGAGCGAGCGAGAGAGCGAGAGAGAGAGAGAGAGAGAGAGAGAGAGAGCACUUAGUUACAUAGAAGUACACUCCCAUGACACUCACGUGGGUCUCUGCCUUGAGAUACAUUCACAGGUGCUACUGUGGGAUUUUCCCCCACAGAAGGCUUGUCCCAGUUACUAGGUUUCCAAUAAAGUCUCUACUGUGGCCGCUGCUAAUUAAUUACAGGUUCAGUGAAUGGCUGCUCAGCACCACAGGGGAAAAGUCAGUACUGAAAUUCUACAUCUUAAGUCCCACAGGCAUGGGGGAGUGGGUACGCUCUUGGAUGUUUAUAAACAACUGAGUAUCUAGCACAGGAGCUGGCACACAUGUAGGAAGGAACAGCUCAAGGGAAGUCAAUGAAUCUUUUCCUUUCUUUAGCUCUUUCACCCUUUCUAAGGCAAUCAAACUAUUCUGGUUUGUAAGAAUAGCAGAUCCCAAAAUAGCCUGCAUGUCUAUAGAAAACUGUACCAGCCAGUAAUGAGGGGCAGAGAAUGGGGAAGGGGGAGAAAGGAGGGAGGGAGGGAGAAAAAGGAGGAGCAAUGUCCACUUCUUUUGUGUUGGUUGAGCCGGUUUCAAGGAACAAAUUUCCCAUGUGAAUGCGUAAGAAAACCAACUCAACCAGAGCAAAGAGAAGUAAAGGAAGCAGGUGAGACCCAAAGUCUGGAAGGACGGGAGUGGAUUUCAGUGUCCAUGCUAAGUCUAAACGCACAAAGUUCCUGUUAGGCUUUUGAGGCAAAGGCAUGCUUCCUUUUCAAUCACUUUUGUCAUUGACUCAGAGAAAAUGGGGAUUCAAGCAGGUAAUAAGUCAGUGGCCUCAGUGGGGUAACACGCCUAAGCUCUGGGAAUGCACUGGGGACCAGAGAGCAGUGUCUCCCACAGAGCAGGGUGAGUGAUUUCCCAAUGAAGCUUUCCCAGGCACACAGGGUUCAGGGGUUCCAGCUGGGGAAGGUAUCCUACUGUCCCUGGGAAAAGCCUGGGGAGUGAGACGGUGGAGGGAGUCGGAGGAAUGGAAAAGGGUCAAUUAAAUAAUAGGGCUUAGAAGGAAGAAAUGGAGCUAAUUUAAAAAACAAAAUCAAGUGCGAGCAAUGGUGCUGGCCUCUAGACGGACUGCAGGAAGAGAAACCAUCUUGAUGCAAUCACUUGCUGACUACUGCCUUCCACAUUGGCCUGUAUAGCCCCAGCCUGGGAAGAUUCUUAAGAGAUUCAAGCAGCUGGAAAGAGGACACCAGUGCUGAGGGACAAUUUUAGAAUGAGACAGACUUGUGGAAAAAGAAGGUCUCAUUAGAUGCUGAGUCAGACUUACACCUUUAAAAUGGUUUGAUACAUGAAAAUAACCCAUUUCUAUAUUACUUGCUAUAUUGUAUAUGACACUUGCACAUGCAAGUGCACACGCACGUGUACACACACACACACACACACACACACACACACACACACACACACACACUGACCUAUACGAAUCACUCAGUAGUCUGUGUCUAUGUCUACUGUCAGUCUUUAUCCAAAUAGCUAGGCCAUUUGGGUCUGUACCCAUCCCCUGAUGUAAUUUUUAUGACCUGUCUGGACCAUUGACAAGAAGAAUCUCUGAAACUUCAACCAAGGCCUCUGGAGCAAUGCAUCAGGCCACCUCACCGUGAAUCCAGCCCUGUUCUGUGCUCCCAUUUGGAUAACUAGCUUUGUGUAUCAUUAAACAGCCAUCAUCCCAGUCUACUCAGGAUUGCCAGUGGGUUCUUCCUUGGGCACCUUCUCUGCCUACCUAGUUUAGGUAGUUUUGUCUACUACAACUUCUGUAGGACCAGAAUCUAACAAGCCUCCAAUCAUCCAUUCUAUCCCAAUCACAAACAGGCACCCGAUGCUGGGUCUUAGGGUCCUUAGACACAGUGACAGAAUCUAAAGAGAGGAAGAAUUGGGCAAUAGUCACUGGAUACUCCCCCUCCAAGAAAGGGGCUAGGACAGAAAGAGCCAGGGAUGAGGCUAAGGAGGGACUGGUGCAUGAUGACCCAAUCAGUGUCACUGGUCUCACAUCAGAAGUCAUAGGGAAUUGGGGGAGACAGCCUGGCGACGUGCAUAGCAAGACAGUUAUUCCUAGGAGUUUUAUACAUAUGUGCCAGUGCCCCAGGCAACAGGCAGGAAUCUCAGGGACAGGACCCAAGCAGAGGGGGUCUUGUUCUAGGCAGCCUAGCUGAGCACUGAGGGGAUCUGCUGACUAGGAACUGCCUCCAGGGAGAGAGAGACUCCUGACAGGCCUGGGCAGACAGGAGAGGUGCAUUUGUCUCCAAGGCUUUUCCCAGCCUCCUCUCUGGCCCUUAUUCUGUUUGCCCUGUCAUUUGCAUUCAGAUCUUGUUUCCUAAGAUACAGCUUUUCUUCCAUUACUCCCCGCUUGGGAUCUUUACCAAAUGCUUGCAUUGUGUGUGUGCGGUUUGAACUGUCUGGUCCGGUAGCUGUUACAAAUCUCCCAGGACAAGACAGCUUGGUGCAGCUAAAGCCAACAAAAGGACAUGCUUGCAGACAGAUUUAGAAGACAAAGAUUGAAAAUGGAUAGUUGAACAAGCUGGUGUAGUGGCGCAGGCCUUUAAUCCCAGCAU
rnacentral:sRNA from 1 species